AGCACGGCAAAGCACACCAAUGAAUACUAUGAGUAAAUAACCUGAAAGCAAAUAGGGAAGAAAACCUCAUCUGGGUAAUUGUGGCUCUUGGGACAAAAAUCAGGUUCCUGGAAAAGGAUCCCCAAAGGAGGUGUAAGGAUCCUGGACUCUAGUGUCUGCAAGAAGCUUCAGCCACCUUCACAGGUUAAAGUUCGCCAUCCAUUAGGAGGUGAAGACCAGAUGGGAACUGCUGGAUUGACCUUGAUAUACCAUGUCCUUGAGUGGAUGAAGGACCUACAUCUCAGGGAUGGCCAGCAGCAGAUGUAACACAUGUGUCCAGGAAUAGGCUAAACAACCUACACUGAUAGAUCUCAGCCGCUCAGCAGAAUGCGGGAGAGCCGAGUGCUGAUGGGCUAGAGGGGUCCCAGGCGUCGCUGUGCAGCCGGUGCAGUGUCUGCAGUCACCAUGGGCCAAACCCUGCGCUCCAGACAACCCCGG